CCUACGGGUGGCUGCAGUCGGGAAUAUUGGGCAAUGGAGGAAACUCUGACCCAGCAAUACCGCGUGAAGGAUGAAGGUUUUCGGAUUGUAAACUUCUGUUAUAAAGGAAGAAAAAAAUGACGGUACUUUAUAAGUAAGCCCCGGCUAACUACGUGCCAGCAGCCGCGGUAAUACGUAGGGGGCAAGCGUUAUCCGGAUUUAAUGGGUGUAAAGGGAGCGUAGACGGCUGUGCAAGUCUGAAGGGAAAGCCCGUGGCUCAACCGCGGAACUGCUUUGGAAACUGUAUAGCUUGAGUACUGGAGAGGCAGGCGGAAUUCCUAGUGUAGCGGUGAAAUGCGUAGAUAUUAGGAGGAACACCAGUGGAGAAGGCGGCCUGCUGGACAGAAACUGACGUUGAGGCUCGAAAGCGUGGGGAGCAAACAGGAUUAGAUACCCUUGUAGUC
rnacentral:rRNA from 1 species